rnacentral:tRNA from 4 species
UACCCCGUAGUGUAACGGUAGCACAGCAGGUUUUGGUCCUGCACGUUCAGGUUCGAAUCCUGGCGGGGUAA